UCAAAUCCAAGGCAGGGUGCCCACCUCUGCAGUGGAGUCCAGAGACUCCCAUCUUGUGGGUUUUUCUUGGGGACCAGUGGGUAGUCCACAGGGUCUUCCUUCUGGGGUCAGGCUGCUGCAGGUUCCUGGACCCGUAGCUUGUCCUGGGCUGGGGAGGGCAGGGGUACUGUAGAGUGUCCUGGGUCUCGGUAUCAAGAUGUGACUCUGAGGGUAAUUCCAACUCUGUCAACAGGGGCCGAAGCCCCCCGUGGCCUCCCCUGUGGGCCUCCAGCCCCCCAUGUGAACGCCUUGGGUGUCCUAACCUUGGCAGUCAGGCUUGGGAGGUCGGCAACCUGGGAUGAGGGCCACCCCUGCCCCCAGAAGCUCCAGAGUCUUGAUCUGAAGACCCUGAGUCUCCUCAAACUCAGAGCAGGGUUCACUCUCCUUCAGAAAGGGGCGAUGUAUGUCUCUCUUCCCCCGGCCCUAAGGUGGGCUGAGCCACCUCUGGAAGCCCCUGGGGUCUCUAGAGUGAGGAGGGGUCCCCCACCUGGUCUGGGAGUGGAGGAGAGAGCAGGAGGCAGCCUGUUUCCUGAGAUGGAGGUUUACUCAGAGCCUUCGUCUCUUCCAGACUCGUGUGUGUUGUAGACGUGCUGUGGUGUGUGUGUCCUGCGUGUACUGUGAGUCCCUGAGGGUCAGAACGGACCCAGACCCCGCUCCCUCCAGCGGCUGUCCUGCAGGGGCCCUCUUUCAGGUCCUGUCUGUCCCCAGGAAUAGGCCUGAGAUGACCCCGCCCAGUGGGCAGGACUCAGGCAAGGUGCUGCCCACCUCCCGUGUCUCUACCCUACCAGCAGGCAUGGCCCACCCCAUUUGUCAGCUUGGCACAUGGAGGCUCUGAGGGAUUUUCCCAGAGGUGGGGCCCCUGCCCUCCUUACACAGGAAGGUAAAGCCAGGUCUGAGCCCCAAGGGCCCCUCACCCUUCUGCCCCAGGCACCACCCUUGGUCAGUUACCCCAGGCCACCUCUUCACUGUGGGUCUGAUCCAUAGCCCUCUUCCAGCCACAUCCCCACAGGGCAGGAUGUCAAGCCCUGCCUGUUUUUUCCUGGUUCCUGGAAGGCCCAUCCGGUGGGCCUUAAAAAUAGCUCUGGGCCCCACAGGCGGGCCUGGCCCAGGUCAGCAACUUCACGGGCGGCAGAGCUGGGGCCACUCCUGCAGCUGUGGGAGGAGCUCCCGGAGGAGGGCUCAGCUGAGGCACCAGGCCACCUCGCUGACGGCAGAGGCCGGGCCUGGUCCCUUGGCCCCCCACCAUCCUGGGCAUGCCCGCAGCUCAGGCCAGCGUGCUGCGAGCCCCCGUGUCCAGCAGGCCAUCCUGCAGAGAGGGGCUGCCUUGCAGGGAGGCCGGGUGCCUCUUCAGGCUUCCCGUGUCUUCUCUAGGCAGGUGUUUCCUAAGUGUGGGGAGCAACUUGGAUCUGCCCGGGGGCUGCAGCCCCGCCCCACCCUGGAAACAGCCCUUCCUGGCCCUGCACAGCCCCACAAGGUCACCCUGCCCUGGGGGCAGGAGGGGCGGCUAUUGCCAUGAUGAUCAGAGCCAGGCUGUCCUCCCUGGAUCAGGGAGGAAGAGGAGGCUGCAGGGUAGGUAGCCUCCGUCUCCACCUUGUGUCCCAUCCACGCACAUACACACUCACGGACACUCAUGCACACGUUCAUAUACACUCACAGACACUCGACACUCAUGGACACUCAGGGACGCUCACUGACAGUCAUGCACACAUUCAUAAACACUCACAGAUACUCGUGCACACGGACACUCAUGCGCACUCGAGGACAUUCACACACACCAUGAACAUAUGCGUGUUCGUGGACAGUCAUACACACUCAAUGACACUCAUACACAUGGACACGUAUGCAUACUCACAGACAUUCAUACAGACAUACCACGAGCACUCAUGCACACUCACGGACACUCAUACACACUCAGGGACACCAUGCAUACUCACGGACAUUCAUACAGUGGGUACUCACACGGCCAUGCGUGCACACAUUCACACACACAGACACUCAUAUACACUCAUGCACAUGGACACUCAAGGACAUGUGUACACGUGGAUGCUUAUGCACACUUGCGGACAUUCAUACACAUGGGUACUCACACACAUGGGCACGCACACAUGCUCACAGCCGGGCGUCACAGCAGGGAGCAGGGGGACAGCACAGCCUCUGGGUCUCGGCCCUCGUCCCCCUUGCCCCCACUCAGUCCCUGGGCCUUCCCUCUGGCCCCCUCUGCCUCUGUCCUGGCCUCUCACCCACCUGGGAGAGGAGCCAGCAGAGCCAGUGCUUCGCAAUGUGCCCCAGAGGCGACGGGGCCGGCCUGCGCCGGCUCCCGAGUCAGCGGGGGCUGUGGCUGGUGGCCUGUGGGAACCCGGGUCACCCUGGCCGGGCGCCCCCUGCCUGACCUGACCCCAGGCCAAGUUCAAGACCUGCCACCUCUUCUCAGUACCCCACCUCCCGCCACCCUUGUGCAUGGCACCUCAGGCCGCCUGGCAGUGAUCACCUGGGUCCUGGCCAAGGGAACCUCGAAAAAUCAGCGAUGCCGGGGAUGCCCAACCUGGGGAGAGGCUGGAGUCCCGGUGGAUCUGACCCCGAACCCAGCUGGGCUAGAGCGCCCUUCCCCAGCCUGGGGGUGGCGGUGACGGGAGCAGUGACCAGACCUCGGGGGCUGCCCGGGCCGAAGGGGUGGUGUCCUCACCUCGGCCCUCCGUCAGGCUCCGGGGCCAGGCCACCCCGGGCAGUGGGCACAGCCUCGGCCCUGGACCAGCUCUGUGGCUACUUUGCUGGGGCCUCACCCUGCUCACCCUGCCUGGGGGUCCCCUUCUAAAGGGGCUCUGGCCACCCCUGAGCAGGCUGGGAGGAGGAGCUACUCAGACAUGCUUCGCGGCUGUGCAGUGGAUGCCUAAGACUUGUCCUGGGCCCAGGCCCAGAUUUCACAGAGUCUGGGGGCUCCUGGAUGGGGAGUCCUGGGGCAGGGCCCAGCAGAGUGUCAGCUCCACCACCUCUGUGCCGAGACCCUCAAGGUCAAGGAGCCCAGCUUGGGUGGGACUGGGGCAGAGGGUCCUGCUCACCCCAAAGGCCCAGGCCACGGGACAGCGGGCUGGGAGCAGUGGGGCUGCCCUCUGCAGGAGCCCCGUGCCCCAACCCAGCAGCAGACGCAGCCUCUGAGACCCAGCCAGGGAGUCCAGGGCGGCCUUUGUGGGUGGUGCCAGGUGGGUUGGGUCCUGCUCGGCCCCUAGCAUGGACAACGAAGGGACACAGAAGAGGCUUUGCAGGGGGACUCCUGUGGAGCAGGAGGCUGGGCCAGCCGGCCCAUGUGUGCCUCUGGCUUGCAUGCGGCUCCAGGGGCCACGCGGGGCCCAUGUUGGGGGCUUUCCGGAGG
ensembl:lncRNA